rnacentral:lncRNA from 1 species
AAGAAUUGAAUAAAACCCAUACAUGACAUACACACAAGAUAGGGAAGAACGGGAUAAAACCCACACAUAGCAUAUACACAAGAUAGGAAAGAAUUGGAUAAAAUCCAUACAUGACAUACACACAAGAUAGGGAAGAACUGGAUAAAACUCACACAUAGCAUACGUACAAGAUGUGGAGGAACGGGAUAAAAUCCACACAUUGCAUACACAUAAGAUGGGAUUAGGGACCCACACGUGCGUAGUUG